rnacentral:tRNA from 1 species
UGAUAGCUCAGUCGGUAGAGCGACGGACUGUUAAUCCGUGUGUCACAGGUUCGAGCCCUGUUCGG